ensembl:lncRNA novel transcript
AGUUCUUGAAGCUAAAGGGGGUUAAGCUCAAAUGUAGUUAAUGACAGAGUAAAAUUAAAUAGGUAUCUUUACUACAGGACUUUUCUGAGCAUUUAAUAUGCUAAUGUGCAUGAUUAUGGCUUGGAGCCUCAAAUCACUUUGUGAUUCAAGAUGGCAACUGGAAGAAAGAGGAGAUAACAAAAAGAGACCCAAAGUGACACCAAGUCUGAGCACACCAUUGGAGAACCUAGGAAGCUCUACCCUAAAGAACUUUCAGACAUGUGCACAAGAAGACCUCUCCCUCCAAUCCCAAAGGGGUCAGAAACUGCAAUUAGCAAGCUGGAGGAGGAGGAGGAGGAGGAAGAGGCACAGAAGCAGGAGGUGGGGAGCCUGAGACAGAGAUCAUCCUGUCUGCCCUUCCCACUUCAGGCUACCACCUCUUGCAGACCUACGUUAAAUGAAAUGAGAAGCCUCAACUUUGACUACUAUUAAGGUAUUACAUAGAAGUAGACAUUUUAGGGGCCAAAAUAAAACUUUCUGGGUGACUAGAAGAGCACAAAGGAUCUCUCAUUUUCUGAAAGUGGAGUGAUCGAAAAAAGCCACUGUGCCAUUCCUGGAAUUCAUUCAAGAACAGAAAAAAAUUUGUCCUACUGAGUGGGCUAAAAGAAAUAGGGGAAAGAUUAAAGCUGUCAUGUGAUUUC